rnacentral:rRNA from 1 species
AUACGUAGGUGGCAAGCGUUGUCCGGAUUUAUUGGGCGUAAAGCGAGCGCAGGCGGUUUCUUAAGUCUGAUGUGAAAGCCCCCGGCUCAACCGGGGAGGGUCAUUGGAAACUGGGAGACUUGAGUGCAGAAGAGGAGAGUGGAAUUCCAUGUGUAGCGGUGAAAUGCGUAGAUAUAUGGAGGAACACCAGUGGCGAAGGCGACUCUCUGGUCUGUAACUGACGCUGAGGCUCGAAAGCGUGGGGAGCAAACAGGAUUAGAUCCCCUGGUAGUCCACGCCGUAAACGAUGAGUGCUAAGUGUUGGAGGGUUUCCGCCCUUCAGUGCUGCAGCUAACGCAUUAAGCACUCCGCCUGGGGAGUACGACCGCAAGGUUGAAACUCAAAUGAAUUGGCGGGG